GAUCCCAGCCUAGCCUGGCCGGGCUGGCUGCUGGUGGGAGGCGGCGACUGAGUAAGAUGAAGAUCCAGUUUCAGACAUGAGACUCGUUGGGUGAUCAUUUCAUUGAGAUCAACCUGAAUGACCAGGUGUAAAGUGCAAGAGUAAUAUGCUAUGACUGAGUAACUAUGUUUCCGGUAGCCCCUAAACCCCAGGAUUCCAGUCAAGCAUCAGACAGACUCAUGACUGAAAAACAGCAGGAAGAAGCAGAAUGGGAAACCAUAAAUGUGCUAUUGAUGAUGCAUGGCUUGAAACCUUUGUCUCUAGUCAAAAGAACAGAUCUCAAAGAUCUCAUCAUUUUUGACAAACAGUCAUCACAAAGGAUGAGACAGAAUUUGAAAUUGUUGGUGGAAGAAACAUCACGUCAACAGAACAUGAUACAGGAGCUUAUAGAAACUAAUCAACAGCUUAGAAAUGAACUGCAGCUAGAGCAAAGCCGAGCAGCCAAUCAAGAACAACGAGCUAAUGACUUGGAACAAAUUAUGGAGAGUGUGAAAUCCAAAAUUGGUGAAUUGGAGGAUGAAUCACUAAAUAGGGCUUGCCAGCAACAGAAUAAAAUAAAAGAUCUUCAAAAGGAGCAGAAAACUUUACAGGUGAAGUGCCAGCAUUAUAAGAAAAAACGAACGGAGCAACAAGAAACUAUUGCUUCUUUGCAAAUGGAAGUCUGUAGAUUAAGAAAGGAGGAAGAAGAUCGCAUUGUCACUCAAAACAGAGUGUUUGCCUAUCUGUGCAAAAGAGUUCCUCAUACCGUCUUGGAUAGACAGUUGCUUUGUCUAAUUGAUUACUAUGAAUCUAAAAUUAGAAAAAUUCAUACACAAAGAAAGCAGCAUUUUAUCAAGUAGCUUCAGGGACCUUCUGACUUCCAAAUGAAACUGUCGUUUAGAUGGUGGAGAUUCUACAAAGAUAGGACAACUACUCAACUCGGCUGUUGUAGCAC
rnacentral:sRNA from 1 species